GGGGAUUUAGCUCAGUCGAGUAAAGUGCCUGCCUGGCAAGCAUGAGGUCAUGAGUUCAAUCCCCUUGAUCCUCA
rfam:Cavia porcellus supercont2_101 genomic scaffold, whole genome shotgun sequence.